UCACCCAUUUUUCUCUCACCUCUCGAGAGUUUCUCUCUCCUCUCGCGAAAACCCUCUGCUGGGGUUUCGCCCGCCGUGCCUUCGCCGCUGCCUCAGUUCGUUCUUUCUCCACCGCCACCAAGAGGACGAAGUCAUCUGCCACUUCGACCGCAUAGAAGUCGACUGGAACAAUGUCUAACGAUCACAUACUCAGUCUUUAGCCCUUUUCCCACCAGAUUUGGGCUUUGGGUUGUUGCAGGGAAGACGACAGAGGGCUCAACAUGCGAGUACCAAUGCCUGCGAACAGGUCCCUGCUAGACACGUCAAGAAAAAUCGGCCGGCAGAGCACCCAACCGAGUCAGACCCUCUGUUCUGGCUCUCGGGUCUUUGCCGGAAAAGGAGCAGGAGCAGGAGCAGCAGUGGUUUCUCGGUUGCGAUGGACAGAAAAAAAACGGCGACUGCUAGAGUUUGAGUCUCAGCAUGAAGGGAUGCCAGAGCAGAGAGUUUCAGACAUGGUGUUCUGGGUAGUCCGCGCUCUCGCGCGUCUGCUGUAAUUAAGGCAGCAGUGGUUCUCUUGUUGUUUCAGAGUUCGGUUUAAAAAAAAAAAAAAAUCCAGAGGCUCAACCGCAGGUUACAACUCGGAGCGGAAUGACACCAUGGAUCAGCUCUUCGUCUGCGCAACACGUUCACCAGUGGCGUCUCCAGCCGAGCGUCAAUGCAGCUGCAACACCGUUUGAAAAGGGGCGAAAGAAAGAAGAAGAAGAAGAAGAAAAGCAGUAGCUGAGAAUCAGAUAAUUCUGGGUUUCCUUUUAUGAGCACCGACUAGGGAGAUCAAUCGAUUAAACCCUAGGGUUUGCUUUUACGAGGCAUGGACGAGAGAGAUCAAUCGAUUAAACCCUAAGUCAGAGAAUCAAGCUCGCAAGAAAUAGGUUUUCCAAUAGUCCAGCGAGCGGGCGGUUACGGUAAGGAGAGAUUGGAUUGGUAGAGAGAAUCAAGCUAGUAACUGCAAAUAUGCAAAUGGCUCCUCCCUUGCAUGUACGAAAUAAAUGGGUAGGGCUCUUAGCCACUAUCCAUGCUUACAAGCAAGCAACAGUUAAAUCUGAAUUCUAGCUGUCGUUACUGUUACCUUUUGGAAUCUAUAUGGUACGUUACAGGUUUCCUUGCCCCUGUAGAGCAGGGGUGACA